rnacentral:lncRNA from 1 species
AGGAGAAUGAAUGGGCGGGGAGGGGGUGAGGGACAGGUGUCUUGGAGGGGGAGGGGCGAGUGAUUGGGAAUGGAGAAGGGAAGUGAGGAGGGGACCCGCCUCCUCCGGGCUUGGUUGGGAUACAAAGCUGGAGAGGGGCGUGGGGCUGGUGUGGAGACCAGAGCUGACUGGGAGGCUUCAAGAGCAGGGCAGUGGGGAGCCAGGGCACAGGGGGAAGAAAGGACCCCUGCGGAGAGGUUGGAAGCCCUGCCAGGAAGAAUGAAAUCAAGAUACAGUUGGCCACCAUUGACUUUGCCGGGGCAAUAAAAGAGUUGAGUAAGCUGACGAAGACCUGUUU